AUUGAACGCUGGCGGCAGGCUUAACACAUGCAAGUCGAGCGGAGAGAGGUAGCUUGCUACUGAUCUUAGCGGCGGACGGGUGAGUAAUGCUUAGGAAUCUGCCUAUUAGUGGGGGACAACAUUUCGAAAGGAAUGCUAAUACCGCAUACGUCCUACGGGAGAAAGCAGGGGAUCUUCGGACCUUGCGCUAAUAGAUGAGCCUAAGUCGGAUUAGCUAGUUGGUGGGGUAAAGGCCUACCAAGGCGACGAUCUGUAGCGGGUCUGAGAGGAUGAUCCGCCACACUGGGACUGAGACACGGCCCAGACUCCUACGGGAGGCAGCAGUGGGGAAUAUUGGACAAUGGGCGCAAGCCUGAUCCAGCCAUGCCGCGUGUGUGAAGAAGGCCUUAUGGUUGUAAAGCACUUUAAGCGAGGAGGAGGCUACUUUAGUUAAUACCUAGAGAUAGUGGACGUUACUCGCAGAAUAAGCACCGGCUAACUCUGUGCCAGCAGCCGCGGUAAUACAGAGGGUGCAAGCGUUAAUCGGAUUUACUGGGCGUAAAGCGCGCGUAGGCGGCUAAUUAAGUCAAAUGUGAAAUCCCCGAGCUUAACUUGGGAAUUGCAUUCGAUACUGGUUAGCUAGAGUGUGGGAGAGGAUGGUAGAAUUCCAGGUGUAGCGGUGAAAUGCGUAGAGAUCUGGAGGAAUACCGAUGGCGAAGGCAGCCAUCUGGCCUAACACUGACGCUGAGGUGCGAAAGCAUGGGGAGCAAACAGGAUUAGAUACCCUGGUAGUCCAUGCCGUAAACGAUGUCUACUAGCCGUUGGGGCCUUUGAGGCUUUAGUGGCGCAGCUAACGCGAUAAGUAGACCGCCUGGGGGAGUACGGUCGCAAGACUAAAACUCAAAUGA
rnacentral:rRNA from 1 species